UUUUGAGAUGGCUUUUCCUACUUGAGCACAGCAGCUGCCGUUCUUCCUCUGGGUUCCUCAUCUAGGGCCUCCUUUCGGCUUUGAGUGAUUUAUUCACUCUCCGGAUCAUUUUGAUUUAUAUGGAAGCUUUUGGUUUCUAGGUUGUUAGAGUUUUUAGAAGGUUCUCUAGCAUUCUAGAAUUUGUUUCCUUGUAAUGAGUUUUUGUUGGAACGGUUUUGUACCGGAAAUGCCAAAGGGGGAGAUUGUUAAUGUAAUUGGCGAUUUCCGGAUGCGACAAACCGUUGGAGUCUGUAUUUAUUCUUUUUCCAUUUGGGUUGGGAGGUGAUUUUAUUUUGUUUAGAUUAGAUACUCCGCCCGUUGGUUCAAGAGUUGAUCACGAAGGCCGUGCCGUGCAUUUUGCUUGGAAAGGUAUAUGCAUCUCAUGUGCAUUUAGCUUAAUAUUUUUCCAUGCAUCAUUAAAGCUAUUCGGUGUCUUAAUCUUUUAUGAAAUAUCAUUUAUGCACUAACCUUAUAUUAUUGGCCUUGUUUUAUUUGAAGGGAAAUUUUGUCUAAGGCCUUUUUAAGUGCUUGCGCCUUAGUAGCGCCUUACCAGACUAAGGCCCUUGCACGCGUGUUAAGAGAGCCUUAGUAGUGCCUUAGCCGAAUAAGGCCCUUGUACGCGUGCUAAGAGCGCCUUUAGAGGGCUCUCCAGGAUUUUUCUUGCUUGGCCAUAUAUAAGCUUGUUUUUCAUUUUUCUAGGGCAAGAAGAGAUACAAGAGCCCACUUUAGAGAGAGAAAGCAUUGUCUUCUUCACUCUUGUGCCUUCAUUUGCUUUUGGAUGAUUUGAAUCUAGCAUUCAAUCAUCUUUGUUCAAUCUAGAGAAAUACUUUCUUGAUCCAUGUAUUCUCUCUAGGUUGAUUCUUUUGCAUAAAAAUCUUCACUUUACAAAAUCCAUACUUUCAUGCCAAUGAUGCUACUUGGCCGGAUGAUACCGGAGCCGUGGUGAACGGAGAUCGAGGCGUUGGACUCGUGGUGGCUAUGGGAUCAAGAAGGAGUUCGGGGAGCUACAUCAAAGUGGUGGAGUUAGGAUAAGCAUUUGGGGUAAAGUUGUUAUUCCACUCUUAGCACUUUGUAAACCUUUUGAUCUAUAGCAAUUUUGGUAGCUAGGCCGUGGUUUUAUGCUUAGGGUGUGAUUGACCCUAAGUAGUUUCCACGUAU